rnacentral:rRNA from 1 species
GACGAACGCUGGCGGCGUGCUUAACACAUGCAAGUCGAACGGUGAAGCUCCAGCUUGCUGGAGUGGAUCAGUGGCGAACGGGUGAGUAACACGUGAGCAACCUGCCCCUGACUCUGGAAUAAGCGCUGGAAACGGCGUCUAAUACUGGAUACGAGAAGGGUCCGCAUGGGCACUUUCUGGAAAGUUUUUCGGUUGGGGAUGGGCUCGCGGCCUAUCAGCUUGUUGGUGAGGUAAUGGCUCACCAAGGCGACGACGGGUAGCCGGCCUGAGAGGGCGACCGGCCACACUGGGACUGAGACACGGCCCAGACUCCUACGGGAGGCAGCAGUGGGGAAUAUUGCACAAUGGGCGAAAGCCUGAUGCAGCGACGCCGCGUGAGGGAUGACGGCCUUCGGGUUGUAAACCUCUUUCAACAGGGAAGAAGCGAAAGUGACGGUACCUGCAGAAGAAACACCGGCUAACUACGU